CAGAAGCUCCUCGUCGGGCUCCAGAUUGAGGAAAUCGCCAUCGGCGCGGCACGUCGACCCAGAAGGCUCCAUAAAUGCGCCUUGUAGUUCGGGGGACAGUUCCAACCUGGCUAACACUGCCUGCUGCUGGACCCAUCUGACAGCAAUUCUUUUGGAAAAGACCCUCAACUCAGAAAUACAGGACCAUGAGGGAAUCUGAAGAAUGCGGUUUAGGAGCUGUCCACGCUCACUAAUGAAGACAAUAUGGAUGGCUGGCCUUUCAGCCUUCAGCGCCGCGGCUCUGCAGGAUGCAGAAAAGUUGCUUGGCGGCAAGAUGUCGAUGAAAUUCUUUCUGGAAAACUCGAGGACGAGACCGAAGGUCAACACGGAAGCGCGAAUGGCCUGGAAACAUGACACAGUCAAUCUGGAGAAUGUCUGAAGGUGAAGCAAAUUGAAUUGAAAAAGUCGAAAAAACAUUGAAUGUUUGGAAAAGAAGCCACCCAAAAUGCUCCGUGGUCAUUGUUUAAUAAAUAUCAUCUUCCAUUGUU